rnacentral:rRNA from 1 species
AUUGAACGCUAGCGGGAUGCUUUACACAUGCAAGUCGAACGGCAGCGCGGACUUCGGUCUGGCGGCGAGUGGCGAACGGGUGAGUAAUGUAUCGGAACGUGCCCAGUAGCGGGGGAUAACUACGCGAAAGCGUAGCUAAUACCGCAUACGCCCUACGGGGGAAAGCAGGGGAUCGUAAGACCUUGCACUAUUGGAGCGGCCGAUAUCGGAUUAGCUAGUUGGUGAGGUAACGGCUCACCAAGGCGACGAUCCGUAGCUGGUUUGAGAGGACGACCAGCCACACUGGGACUGAGACACGGCCCAGACUCCUACGGGAGGCAGCAGUGGGGAAUUUUGGACAAUGGGGGCAACCCUGAUCCAGCCAUCCCGCGUGUGCGAUGAAGGCCUUCGGGUUGUAAAGCACUUUUGGCAGGAAAGAAACGUCGCGGGCUAAUACCCCGUGGAACUGACGGUACCUGCAGAAUAAGCACGGCUAACUACGUG